rnacentral:rRNA from 1 species
CCUACGGGAGGCAGCAGUGAGGAAUAUUGGUCAAUGGACGAGAGUCUGAACCAGCCAAGUAGCGUGAAGGAUGACUGCCCUAUGGGUUGUAAACUUCUUUUAUAUGGGAAUAAAAUGUUCCACGUGUGGGAUUUUGUAUGUACCAUAUGAAUAAGGAUCGGCUAACUCCGUGCCAGCAGCCGCGGUAAUACGGAGGAUCCGAGCGUUAUCCGGAUUUAUUGGGUUUAAAGGGAGCGUAGGUGGAUUGUUAAGUCAGUUGUGAAAGUUUGCGGCUCAACCGUAAAAUUGCAGUUGAAACUGGCAGUCUUGAGUAGAGUAGAGGUGGGCGGAAUUCGUGGUGUAGCGGUGAAAUGCUUAGAUAUCGCGAAGAACUCCGAUUGCGAAGGCAGUUCACUGGACUGCAACUGACACUGAGGCUCGAAAGUGUGGGUAUCAAACAGGAUUAGAUACCCUUGUAGUC